rnacentral:rRNA from 1 species
ACGCUCGACACCUACGGGCGGCAGCAGUGGGGGAUAUUGCACAAUGGGGGAAACCCUGAUGCAGCAACGCCGCGUGAGGGAAGAAGGUUUUCGGAUUGUAAACCUCUGUCCUUGGUGACGAUAAUGACGGUGGCCAAGGAGGAAGCUCCGGCUAACUACGUACCAGCAGCCGCGGUAAUCUGAGCGGGCUGGCAAGGC